rnacentral:rRNA from 1 species
GAUGAACGCUGACAGAAUGCUUAACACAUGCAAGUCGAUUCGAUUUACCUUCGGGUAUUGACGAGUGGCGAACGGGUGAGUAAUGUAUCGGAACGUGCCCAGUUGUGGGGGAUAACUGCUCGAAAGAGCAGCUAAUACCGCAUACGACCUGAGGGUGAAAGCGGGGGAUCGCAAGACCUCGCGCAAUUGGAGCGGCCGAUAUCAGAUUAGGUAGUUGGUGGGGUAAAGGCCCACCAAGCCAACGAUCUGUAGCUGGUCUGAGAGGACGACCAGCCACACUGGGACUGAGACACGGCCCAGACUCCUACGGGAGGCGGCAGUGGGGAAUUUUGGACAAUGGGCGCAAGCCUGAUCCAGCCAUGCCGCGGGCGGGAAGAAGGCCUUCGGGUUGUAAACCGCUUUUGUCAGGGAAGAAACGCUCUGGGCUAAUACCCUGGGGUAAUGACGGUACCUGAAGAAUAAGCACCGGCUAACUACGUGCCAGCCGCCGCGGUAACAC